AAGUCGUAACAAGGUUUCCGUGGGUGAACCUGCGGAAGGAUCAUUAACACGUAUCCAACGUUAAACCCCCCCGUGCACUUUCAAUAUACACAUCGCUUCGUGACCCCUCUUGUGUCGGGAUUGAUGGUCGGGAAAAACAGGGAUCUAGGGAGUUGGUUGUCGGGGGAGAACCUCGCGAAAUGGUUUGGCACGCCGAGAGGCGGGGACCAAUCCUGGUUGCGAUGUAAACGUGGUCUCCACUUCAACUUGUUUAGUACCUUUUGUCCUCUACCCUCUUCCCGCAAAAGUACCCGCUCGGGGGCCUGAGAACCUCCAGAGCUGGAAUACCCGAACAACUGUUAACAAUGGAUAUCUUGGCUCUC
rnacentral:misc_RNA from 1 species